rnacentral:rRNA from 1 species
AUUGAACGCUGGCGGAAUGCUUUACACAUGCAAGUCGAACGGCAGCACGGACUUCGGUCUGGUGGCGAGUGGCGAACGGGUGAGUAAUGUAUCGGAACGUGCCCAGUCGUGGGGGAUAACGUAGUGAAAAUUACGCUAAUACCGCAUACGAUCUAUGGAUGAAAGCGGGGGAUCGCAAGACCUCGCGCGAUUGGAGCGGCCGAUAUCAGAUUAGGUAGUUGGUGGGGUAAAGGCCCACCAAGCCAACGAUCUGUAGCUGGUCUGAGAGGACGAGCAGCCACACUAGAGCGGAGACACGGUACAGACUCCUACGGGAGGCAGGAGUGGGGAAUUUUGGACAAGGGGCGGAAGCCUGAUCCAGCCAUUCCGAGUGCAGGAUGAAGGCCCUCGGGUUGUAAACUGCUUUUGUACAGAACGAAAAGGUUUCUACUAAUACUAGGAGCUCAUGACGGUACUGUAAGAAUAAGCACCGGCUAACUACGUGCCAGCCGCCGCAGUAA